rnacentral:rRNA from 1 species
GACGUAGGGCGCGAGCGUUUGUCCGGAUUUAUUGGGCGUAAAGAGCUCGUAGGCGGCUUGUCGCGUCGACUGUGAAAUCCCGCGGCUCAACUGCGGGUCUGCAGUCGAUACGGGCAGGCUAGAGUUCGGUAGGGGAGACUGGAAUUCCUGGAUGUAGCGGUGAAAUGCGCAGAUAUCAGGAGGAACACCGGUGGGCGAAGGCGGAUCUCUGGGCCAUUAACUGACGUG